CUAGGGAGCUGAGAUGGCUUAGACAG
rnacentral:piRNA from 1 species